rnacentral:tRNA from 1 species
GGACCGGUAGCUUAGUUGGCAGAGCAGGGGAUUCUUAAUCCCAAGGUCGGAGGUUCGAAUCCUCCCCGGUCCACCA